rnacentral:rRNA from 1 species
GACGAACGCUGGCGGCGGGCUUAACACAUGCAAGUCGAACGGAAAGGCCCUGCUUGUGUGGGGUGCUCGAGUGGCGAACGCGGGAGUAAGAGGUGAGUAACCUACCCUUGACUUUGGUAUAACUUCAGGAAACUGGAGCUAAUACCGGAUAGGAGCUCCUGCUGCAGGGUGAGCGUUGGAAAGUUGCGGCUGGUGGGGAUGGAUUCGCGGGUUAUGAGCUUGUUGGUGGGGGAGUGGGUUACCAAGGCUUGGGCGGGUAGGCCGCCUGAGAGGGUGAGCGGCGACCUAGGGACUGAGGUACGGCACCGACUCCUACGGGAGGCAGCAGUGCGGAAUACUGCACCAGCGGCGCAAGCCUGAUGCAGAAAGCCCGCGUGCGGGAUGACGGCCUUCGGGUUAUAAACAGGUUUCACCUGUGACCAACGGUGAGUGACGGUAACCCGUAAAGAAGGCCCGGCUAACUACGUG